AUUGAACGCUGGCGGCAGGCCUAACACAUGCAAGUCGAACGGAGUGGCGGACGGGUGAGUAACGCGUAGGUAACUGCCUCAUAGCGGGGGAUAACUCUUGAAAACGAUAGCUAAUACCGCAUACUGUGAGAUGGCCCUGCGUUGUAUUAGCUAGUUGGUGCGGUAAAGGCGCACCAAGGCGACGAUACAUAGCCGACCUGAGGGGGUGAUCGGCCACACUGGGACUUGGACACGGCCCAGACUCCUACGGGAAGCAGCAGUAGGGAAUCUUCGGACAUGGACGGAAGGCUGACCGAGCAACGCCGCGUGAGUGAAGAAGGUUUUCGGAUCGGAAAGCUCUGUUGUUAUAGGAGCGGUAACUAACCAGAAAGGAACGGCUAACUACGUGCCAGCAGCCGCGGUAAUAC
rnacentral:rRNA from 1 species